AGAGUUUGAUCCUGGCUCAGGAUGAACGCUAGCGGCAGGCCUAACACAUGCAAGUCGAGGGGCAGCGAGGCGGAAGCUUGCUUCCGCUGUCGGCGACCGGCGCACGGGUGCGUAACGCGUAUGUAACCUACCUUAUACAGGAGGAUAACCCGGAGAAAUUCGGACUAAUACUCCAUAGGUAUAUUUUCGGCAUCGGAGAUAUAUGAAAGAUUCAUCGGUAUAAGAUGGACAUGCGUGACAUUAGCUGGAUGGUGAGGUAACGGCUCACCAUGGCGACGAUGUCUAGGGGUUCUGAGAGGAAGGUCCCCCACACUGGUACUGAGACACGGACCAGACUCCUACGGGAGGCAGCAGUGAGGAAUAUUGGUCAAUGGACGGAAGUCUGAACCAGCCAUGCCGCGUGCAGGACGACGGCUCUAUGAGUUGUAAACUGCUUUUGUACGAGAAUAACGGUAUCUACGUGUAGGUAAUUGAAUGUAUCGUACGAAUAAGGAUCGGCUAACUCCGUGCCAGCAGCCGCGGUAAUACGGAGGAUUCGAGCGUUAUCCGGAUUUAUUGGGUUUAAAGGGUGCGUAGGCGGCCCGGUAAGUUAGAGGUGAAAUUCAGCGGCUUAACCGCAGAACUGCCUCUGAUACUGUCGGGCUGGAGAGUAGAUGCAGCAGGCGGAAUGAGUAGUGUAGCGGUGAAAUGCUUAGAUAUUACUCAGAACACCGAUUGCGAAGGCAGCUUGCUAAUCUAUAUCUGACGCUGAUGCACGAAAGCGUGGGUAGCGAACAGGAUUAGAUACCCUGGUAGUCCACGCAGUAAACGAUGAUAACUCGUUGUCGGCGAUACACAGUCGGUGACCCAGCGAAAGCGAUAAGUUAUCCACCUGGGGAGUACGACCGCAAGGUUGAAACUCAAAGGAAUUGACGGGGGCCCGCACAAGCGGAGGAACAUGUGGUUUAAUUCGAUGAUACGCGAGGAACCUUACCCGGGCUUGAAAGUUAGCGACCGCCUUUGAAAGAGGGCUUCUCUUCGGAGCGCGAAACUAGGUGCUGCAUGGUUGUCGUCAGCUCGUGCCGUGAGGUGUCGGGUUAAGUCCCAUAACGAGCGCAACCCCUGUUCAUAGUUACCAGCAUGUAGUGGUGGGGACUCUAUGAAGACUGCCGGUGUAAACCGCGAGGAAGGUGGGGAUGACGUCAAAUCAGCACGGCCCUUACGUCCGGGGCGACACACGUGUUACAAUGGCCGGUACAGAGGGCAGCGACAUAGCGAUAUGAAGCGAAUCUCGUAAAGCCGGUCUCAGUUCGGAUUGCAGGCUGCAACUCGCCUGCAUGAAGUUGGAUUCGCUAGUAAUCGCGCAUCAGCCAUGGCGCGGUGAAUACGUUCCCGGGCCUUGUACACACCGCCCGUCAAGCCAUGGAAGCCGGGGGUGCCUGAAGUACGUGACCGCGAGGAGCGUCCUAGGGCAAAACUGGUAACUAGGGCUAAGUCGUAACAAGGUAGCCGUACCGGAAGGUGCGGCUGGAACACCU
rnacentral:rRNA from 1 species